AUGGCGCACAAACAGGAGAGAGGAAGGAACGGUGAUGUGCCCGCGGCAGCCCCCGCGCGAGUCGCGGCCGUGCCGCCGUGGAGCUGCGCAGCCCCGCGGUGCUGGCGGGGCCUGGUUGGGGCAAGCGGGCAGCCGGGGCCUGGGAGGCAGAGUGAGUGAGUGGGUGGGAGGUGGCAUCACUAUGUAAGGGCUUACGCCUUGACAGAAACCUCUCUCUGAGCACGGUUAUUGAAAUUUUGGGGCCUUAUUUUCUCGACUAUUGACAGCAACAAUGAGGUGUGCAGACACAAAGUCUACGGCACAGUUCUCAAUUUAUGCAGAGGGAUACCUAUUAGCAUAAAAACGCCCAUGUGCUGUGCUCCUGCCCUAAGCUCUCAUCAUCCUGUGCCGUUCUGAGUAAUGUUUUUGUGUCCCUCUGCUUGCAGGACAAACUACAGGCAAUUGUGACGAUACAGAUUGACUUUUUGUUGACGUCAACGGAGGCUGAAAUCUUCCUGUUGGGGCACAGCCUUGCAGAUGGUUUAGUCGGUUGCUGUUCAUCAGAGCCACGGAAACACCAUUGCAAAGAAAUUAAUCGGAGCAGAUGCAGAGUGCCUUCUGUCUCUCUCUGGCCUUGGCUUCUGUAUCAGAGAUUGCGUGAAGUUAAUUAAGGAAUUCCUGUAUUUUAAUCCCUACAUCGGAAACAAGCCAAGCCUGACUAGCAUUUCUGGAGAGGCAAGAUGCAAAACCAGAAGUAAACAGGAUCUCGGUGCAACAAUACUGUUAUCUAAGAGAGACUGAUGCUUAUCCUGUGGUUGGAAUUAAUAUCAAGAUGCUGUAGUGCACAUUCCUCAGCAAAAUUCCAUAAUUUCCAAAUACAAAUGCAUGCUUUUGGACCCAGUGAAUAGUUCCAGUAGUUCUAUCUAGUCUCACUUUCCUAGAACGUGAGAAACAGCCCUUUGUGUAGCUGUUGAUUGUUAUGCACAUGAGAGUCUCUGUGCCCUGGAUUUCAAGUACUGUCCCUGGCUUGUUCAGCAUUUUUUGUGUUGUCCAGCCUACGGUCUUAAUUCAUCCUGUCAUUUGUUGCUUACAGAUCUUUCAAAUCAACAUCCGAGUCAAACCUUUCCUCUGCGGUUUCUCACCGCCUGUCUGUAAACUCGUUGUACUCCAGGGUAUCUUAGCUAGCCAGCACAGCAUCAUGUAAGUGAGGUCAAUGGCUCCAUUUCUGUUCAGCAGGAACCAGUCCUUUAUUUUUGUUUGGAAAUGAUGUUUCUCCUCUGCAGUCCUCUGCAAUGGACUGUAAUGGAGGACUAUCAGCUAGCAAUUGCCUGAUUUGUCUGCACCCAUCCCACUUUCAAAGCAGGAGUGUUCCAACAGAAAUUGCAGAGACUUUGCAUUUUUCGUCUGCCCUUAGCUAGUCAUAGAUUUGAGAGUAGGAUUGUGCUACUGGCAAAUUAAUCAGUCUGGAAACUUCACAAUUAAUCAUAGCAGAGCCAGAGCUCCGCUCAAGAGUUUAGGAAAAAAAUCCUUAUGGAUAUUAGGUGCCUGACUACCGCAGAAAUCAAAGAUUGUAUAUGUUUUAACUUUGCUGAACACAUCUCUGAAAGGAGUUCACUUUACUGCUGAUCCAAUUCUUCUGCCUCCUCUUAUCCAUGUGACAACUACAACAAUUGAUUAUAUGGAAAAGUAAUAUUAGGAAAGUAUUUAAUGUAUUUUUAGCUGCUUCUAAUGGGAUUUAGCAGCUGGAAACAAGGAGAGCUGGCACUGAGUAAUCAGGUCAGUUCUUAGACAGCUGUGUGAGAACCAGAGUAUCAGACAGGGCUCUGAAA